CCCUUAGAUGUUCUGGGCUGCACGCGUGCUACAAUGGCGCUUGCAACAAGAUUGCCAACCCGAAAGGGUGAGCGGAUCUUUGAAGUGGCGUCGUGAUCGGGACAGUUGAUUGCAAUUAUUCGACUCGAACGAGGAAUUCCUUGUAAUCGCGAUUCAUCAUAUCGCGCUGAAUACGUCCCUGCCCUUUGUACACACCGCCCGUCGCUCCUACCGAUUGAGCGAUCCGGUGAAUGUUUUGGACUGGUGUCCGCAAGCGUUUCGCUUCGGACGCUACGAAAUUUUGUAAACCUUAUCGCUUAGAGGAAGGAAAAGUCGUAACA
rnacentral:rRNA from 1 species